rnacentral:rRNA from 1 species
CGUAGGGUGCGAGCGUUGUCCGGAAUUAUUGGGCGUAAAGAGCUCGUAGGCGGUUUGUUGCGUCGGCCGUGAAAACUUGGGGCCUAACCCCGAGCCUGCGGUCGAUACGGGCAGACUUGAGUUCGGCAGGGGAGACUGGAAUUCCUGGUGUAGCGGUGAAAUGCGCAGAUAUCAGGAGGAACACCGGUGGCGAAGGCGGGUCUCUGGGCCGAUACUGACGCUGAGGAGCGAAAGCGUGGGGAGCGAACAGGAUUAGAUACCCUGGUAGUCCACGCCGUAAACGGUGGGUGCUAGGUGUGGGGGGCUUCCACGUCCUCCGUGCCGCAGCUAACGCAUUAAGCACCCCGCCUGGGGAGUACGGCCGCAAGGCUA